rnacentral:snRNA from 1 species
AUACUUACCUGGCAAGGAAGAUACCAUGAUCACAAAGGUGGUUUUCCCAGGGAGAGGCUUAUCCAUUGCACUCUGGAUGUGCUGACCCCUGUGAUUUCCACCAAAUGUGGGAAACUCAACUGCAUAAUUUGUGGUAGUGGGGACUGCAUUCACGCUCUCCCGU